rnacentral:lncRNA from 1 species
CAAAGUGAUCCACACAAUCCAAGCAUUUGUGGUAGUCAAGAGUGUGAGCUGAGAUACAUGGAAAUGGCCACCUGCUCAGAAAGAAGUCCUUCUCACUAGGCUUGAAAUGCCCAUCGGUCCUUUGGUCAUCCAGUUCUAACAUCAUGACACCAGAAGUUCCGUAUUGUACCAGUCAGGUACUCAAAUCCAAAGGGACUGACUAAAUGUAUUUGGAGGAAAUGGUAGGAAGCUUCAAGUCUUCCUUUCCCCAAAGACACCGAGUUAACACGGACCAGAACACCUCUGUGAGAACUCUAGAGACAUGUCGAGAAGCUACAGCAUGCCAUAUCAUUGUAAAACCCAAAAAGGAUUCUAAACAAAAAAGGAGGGAAAAUCUGCAGUAUUUGGCAAAGCCAUCCUGACUUUUCUUCUUUGUGGCAUAGUGCUAAGCAACUGGGAAAAAACCCUUACCCCAGGGCUCCAUCAUCCAGGAUGGAAACAAAAGAUUGGACCAUGGAUUCAGUGCUCUGGUUUAUCUGAUGGCCACCCAAGGGGCUAGCUGCUUUAUCACCUGACUGGGACAACAGCUAAGGAUACCAGGGGAAGAAUCUGGAAACAAAGGUGGAGCCUCCGAUUAGAGCUGCGGUUCCACAAGCAGACACCAGAGGGAACAAAAGAACAGGAAAGAUGGGAGCCAUCCUUGCUCCACUAGUACUGCUGUGAAGGUCUUCCCCUACAAGGAGCCAGACUGUGGAAGAGGUCCAACAGCAGACUGACCAGGAAGAAGAAAUAAUUGGCAGAAUUGAAGGCAGGUUAUUUGAAGUAAUCAAGUCAGAGGCACAAUACUCUGCCACCACCAGCACGGCCACACACGACCUGGACCACACACCCACUGGCACCUGACGAUGACUCGGGCUCUGCCACCAUGGAGGACAUGACCAAGUACAGCAACAGAGGAAUUCGCCCAGGGAUCCAGGAUCAUUGCAAGGAAAUCCCCAGCAGACAGCUGAUACUCAGAGUUGACAAAAAGAAUGAAGGAAGGAAUGAAGCCAUCUGCGGAAGGGCACGGAACUGCCGGGUAAUGGAAACUGGAACCGCAUGCCCAGCAGGCCCGGUGACCCACAGUAACAGGUGUUUGCACCUCUGAGGUCUGUGAGUCAUCCGCACAGCUGCGCGCGCACACAGCAUAAGCACUCACAGGCUCCUGGAAGACAACGCUGGAACACAAGCUGACGUGGGCACCGUGUUCUGGGCGCCCCGAGACACACCUCAGCAAGAACCUGGAUCCACAAAAAGGAGGCCCU